rnacentral:rRNA from 1 species
UGGGGAAUUUUGGACAAUGGGGGAAACCCUGAUCCAGCCAUGCCGCGUGAGUGAAGAAGGCCUUCGGGUUGUAAAGCUCUUUCGGCCGGGACGAAAUCGCACGCGUGAAUAUCGCGUGUGGAUGACGGUACCGGAAGAAGAAGGACCGGCUAACUACGUGCCAGCAGCCGCGGUAAUACGUAGGGUCCGAGCGUUAAUCGGAAUUACUGGGCGUAAAGCGUGCGCAGGCGGUUUUGUAAGCCAGAUGUGAAAUCCCCGGGCUUAACCUGGGAACUGCAUUUGGGACUGCAAGGCUUGAGUACAGCAGAGGGGGGUAGAAUUCCUGGUGUAGCAGUGAAAUGCGUAGAUAUCAGGAGGAAUACCGAUGGCGAAGGCAGCCCCCUGGGUUGAUACUGACGCUCAUGCACGAAAGCGUGGGGAGCAAACAG